rnacentral:rRNA from 1 species
AAUGGGGGCAACCCUGAUCUAGCCAUGCCGCGUGUGUGGUGAAGGCCUUAGGGUCGUAAAGCACUUUCGCCAGGGAUGAUAAUGACAGUACUUGGUAAAGAAACCCCGGCUAACUCCGUGCCAGCAGCCGCGGUAAUACGGAGGGGGUUAGCGUUGUUCGGAAUUACUGGGCGUAAAGCGCGCGUAGGCGGACUAUUAAGUCAGAGGUGAAAUCCCGGGGCUCAACCCCGGAACUGCCUUUGAUACUGGUAGUCUUGAGGUCGAGAGAGGUGAGUGGAAUUCCGAGUGUAGAGGUGAAAUUCGUAGAUAUUCGGAGGAACACCAGUGGCGAAGGCGGCUCACUGGCUCGAUACUGACGCUGAGGUGCGAAAGUGUGGGGAGCAAACAGGAUU